rnacentral:tRNA from 1 species
GGAGAUGUACGAGUAAUCGUACCCUGGGUUCGAAUCCCAGUCUCACCGCAUUAAGGCGUCUCCCGGAGGGAGAUUAGGGGUAAAACCUUACGCAGGUUCGAAUCCUGUUCUCUCCG